ACGGGGUGCAGCAGGCGCGAAAACUGGCCAAAUGCGCGAAAGCGUGAGCCGGCUAAUCCGAGUGAUCUCCCAUCGGAGAUCUUUUGUUAUGUGUUCAAAGCAUGACGAAUAAUGAGAGGGCAAGACUGGUGCCAGCCGCCGCGGUAAAACCAGCUCUUAGAGUGGUGGGCAUGAUUAUUUGGCUUAAAGAGUGCGUAGCAGGACAGCGUAAGUCCCCCGUGAAAUGCCAGGCCUUAAGCUUGGCGCGGGCGGGGGAUACUGUGCGUCUUGGGACCGGUAUAGGUACAAGGUAUGCAUUGGGUAGGGGUGAAAUCCGAUAAUCCAAUGCAGACCACCGGUGGCGAAGGCGUUGUACUGGAACGGGUCCGACUGUGAGGCACGAAAGCUAGGGUCGCGAGCCGGAUUAGAUACCCGGGUAGUCCUAUGCUGUAAACGAUGCUCACUAAGUGUUAGGCAAUGCAAGACGUUGUCUAGUGCCGAAGGGAAACCGUUAAGUGAGCCGCCUGGAAGUACGUUCGCAAGAA
rnacentral:rRNA from 1 species